rnacentral:tRNA from 1 species
UCCCUGGUGGCUCAGACGGUAAAGCAUCCGCCUGCAAUGAGGGAGACCCAGGUUCGAUUCCUGGGUUGGGAA